GGUUUUUGACCCAUGGUUCUAUCUGUAUGUCUACCUCUUCUUGGCUGCCUAUAUUACGGACCUUGUCGAUUUCCUCAGGGCCAAGGGAUCAAUUCAAAGGUGGUGGAAUGAUCAAAGGAUAUGGAUGGUCAGGGGCCUCACAUCUCAUCUCUUUGGAACUAUACAGUUUGCACUCAAUCAUGUUGGCAUAUCCACUCCAGGGUUUAAUGUAACCAGCAAAGUGCUAGAAGAGGAGCAAAGUGAGCGGUAUGACAAGGGAAUGUUUGAUUUUGGCAUAGCAUCGCCAUUCUUUGUGGUUUUGGGUACAGCGGCCAUCGUAAACUUAAGUUCCUUUGUCAUAGGGAUUGCAAGAGCUGCGAGGAUUGAGGGGGUUUUCAAUGAAAUGUUCCUGCACUUGUUCUUAUCUGGAUUUAUCAUGGUCAACUGCUUGCCUAUCUAUGAGGCCAUGUUUUUGAGGAAGGAUGGUGGGAAGAUGCCGGGAAAUGUCACAUUAAUCUCCAUUUUGGUGGCAGGUUUACUUCACUUGAUCGGAUAUUUUAUGUUCACGAUUUGAUGAGGUGGGCGUACACUUUUAGCUAGCAAGGGUGAAAAAUUAUAUUAUAGAUAUAAUUAUGACUGCAUUGAAUUGAUCAAAUGCAGCUUAUUCAGUGCAAUAUUUUCUGUUUGAUAUCUUAAUCACAGUCCUAUAUUAAUUGAUAAAAGUGGUGUCAUAUGAAUUUAUUAAUUUGAACUUGUCCUCCUUCCGACAGCUUAAGCUUUUAGAUUGUGAGUCGGUGACAAAUGAUAAGAGAGAUAGCUUCAUUGUGUAUUAUAAUCUUUCUUAAUUAAUCAUAUGGAUCUCUUAGUGAGAGUUACUAAGAUCAUAGAGGAUUUACUAGGAUUGAGUAGGAUCUAGAUCAUAAGUCGCCCCUCUCCCUUGGAUGACGUGGGCGUCAUGAGAUUGAGUAGAAGAGAUUAUUCUAGUCCCAUAUUAACUAAUAAAAAAGGUGCCAUAUGAAUUUAUUAGGGUGCUGGUCCCAAUGGCUUAAGUUUUUAAACUGUAAGUCCAUGAUAAUCGACAUGUUAAAAAAAAGAAGAUCUUGAUGAACUCUAGCUUAACUAUCAUACUUUUGAGAUCUAAGCGACUUAAUUUUCAAGCAACCUUUUUUUUGUCCAAAAAAAUUCUCAAACUAAUUUUAUGCUAUUUUCUAUCGAAACUUUCGUUAGCAAAUCUUAUGUAGACUUCUGUUCAAGAUUAUUUUUUUGUGCUAUUCUUUCAGAAAAGAUUAGUUUCACACCCCAUAAUUUAACAGAUAGAAAGUAACAUUGGUGGACCUCAACUAUUAUCAUACAAAUAGUCAAUUUUUUAUUAUUUUUAGAUUAAACAAAUUCACAUGAGACAUCCGACCAAAUACCGUUUAGAAGGAAAAUGGUUGAAAAUAUGAUCAUGAAAGUAAUAGUUUUUGAGAGUAAUAAUGAAGCUUCGAAUAGCAAUUAUCAUUCUCAAAUUGUAACGGCUAAUUAGCCUGUUAUUUUAAACUCUCUCCCCAUCUCCCAGUACAGGGUCUAUAAAAACCACCGGAAUCUUGCCACCUCCGUUACCUUUGGAAAGCCAAGCUCACCUCGUCGUUGCUAGGGCAAGAUGACGACUCUCUCCACCAAGCCCAAACCCUCCACCCUCCACACUCUCACAGUAGAUCCCUUGGCUCCCUAUAACCGUGUCCACUCUCUCCUCUACUCCCUUGGCAUCCUGGCCCUUCUCUACCACCACUGCACCACCUUCCUCGCCCCCCCCCUCCUUCCUCUCCCUCCUCCUUUUCCUCGCCGAUCUUGUCCUUGCCUUCAUGUGGGGCCUAGUCCAACCAUUUCGGUGGCGCUCGGUCCGGCGCCGGGAAUUCCCGGACCGCCUCAUCGACACGGUGGGCCGGAAGAACUUGCCGGCAUUAGAUGUGUUUAUAUGCACUGCAGACCCACACAAGGAGCCACCCAUGAGCGUCGUGAGCACGGCACUAUCGGUGAUGGCCUUCGACUAUCCGACCGAUAGGCUCUCGGUCUAUAUCUCUGAUGAUGGGGGCUCGGAGGUGACUCUCUUUGCGUUCAUGGAGGCGGCCAUGUUCGCCAGGUACUGGUUGCCAUUCUGCAGGGAGAACGGGCUUCAGGAGAGGUCUCCUGAGGCCUAUUUCAGCUCCAGUGUUGGUGGAAACUCUGACAAGAUGAAGGUAAACAACUCUCUCCUUUAUGGUGUAUUAAUUAUAUAUUUAGUUUCUGCACUGCUGAUAAUUUAAAAUACCAACCGGGUCUUCUGCCUUUCUCAAUUAAAAAACUAAAUAAAUAGAUGUUAAAUAAAUAAAAAAAAGAGAGAAAGUUUCAUAUUUUAGUAAAAAAGUUAUAGCUUUCUUUCCUUAUUUAUUUUUUUGGCCUUUUUGUGAUAAAGGAUGAGAACCCAGGACAUGAUUCCAAGAUUUCAUUGAGAUGAAGAAAGAUAUAACAACAAGAUAAGGGAAUCUUUCCAUGAAAGAGUCCGCAAAAUCAAGUAUUUGAUUGACGACAAGGACCACCAGCUUAUUAUAUUAUUGAGAUAUAUAUAAGAUGCUAUGGAGAAUACGAGUUUUGAGACGUCUUAAGCACCCUCAUGUUUCCAUUUGGAGUUUUAAUGGAGAUUUAUCAUUCAUGGAGGGUUCAGAAUACACUGGGAUAUCUACAGUGACAAAAAAAUAUCGGUAAAAUCUAUUCUUUUCAAGAACUACGUAUACCUGAUUAUUGUAGGAAGUACUAGCUCUGAUUUGGCGAUGCUGUUUAGGAACGAAGGUUUUUCUUAAUUCACUGUGAGCAUUGUGCUCUGCUUAAAUUAAGUCAACACUUUGCAUGACAAGUUUAGUCAAAGAAAAACACCUGGCAAUAGGUUAUUAUUUUAAAUUCAUUAGAGUUUUGGGUCUAUUUGGGUGUCUAGAAUGAAAAAUAUAAAAUUAAUUAUAUUGAAUAUUUUGUUGAAAAUUUGGUGGUUGAAAAGAUUUUUCUGAAAAAAAUGAGAGAAAUUUUGAGAUAAAAAUUCUCUGCUACCAGAUUUUUUUUUUAAAGAGAUUGUGCUUCUAAGAAAGAAAAAGCAUAAAAAGUCUCCAGACAAUUUAGUUAAAAUUAGGGUUAUUCCAACAAAAAAUCAAUAACUUACUCCUUAAUUCUUUUCACUGCAAUGAAGCAAUGAAAAAUCCUUGACUUUGCUUGUUUUUAUUUUCUUUUAGUUUUUGCUAGAUAUUUCUCUUUUCAGUUUUCUCACCAACCAAUUCUAGCCAUAAUGUUAAGGAGGCAAUCUAUGCAACGUCACAAUCCUCUCAGUUUACUUAUAGCAGUACUCCAUGAAUGCUAAAUCUUGUGGAUUGUGAAAAACCUUUCAAGCCUUAUGAUCUGAUGUUUCAUUGGAUGGGCAAGAAAGGUGUUAUUUUUCAUGAGGCGCCUCCUUUGAAUUUUAUUUGAGAAAUCCUUAUCUAUCAAAUGAAACCUGUCUCAUUGUCCUUAAGAAAAGUAAACUAAAAAGCAUGGUAUCUCCUGCUUGCAUUUGAUCCAUGCACCAGUCCCCACCGUACUGAAGCCAAGUAGUUUGGAAGUGUGGUCCCUUCAAGGAACCGCUGUCCUAGUCUCUUAGGUCUUGUCGACAGACAUAUCAGUUAUUCCAUAAGAAAAAUCAAGCAUAUCAGUGAUUCUUUGCUAUGGUGCCAAUGGUGGAGAGAGGCUUGAUGGCAUGGUGAGAAGGUUGGCUCGUCCAUUUCCAGGGCAGCAAUUUUGUCCCGAGCAAUAAUGGUUAUCAAGUUGCCCAGUGAAAUAACGCAAUCUGAAAGUGCCAUUUUUUAUUUCAUCAUUGUUUCCUAUCAGUUGCAAUUGAUCGGAUGAAAAAUUCUAGGAUAGACUUAGUCUACUACAUAUAGUAUAGACAAAGUCAAGAAAAAGAUACCAUAUUAGUAGUUUGAUCUCAAAACAUCAUUGUUUAAUCUUGUAAGUAUCUCAACACAUCAUUGUUUAACCAUUCAACACAUCAUUGUAUGCUGUUGUGGUAGCAUAUGAUAGGCUAAGUCUAUCCAAGAAGAUGUUCUCAAUUUAUAGUUGCAACAAAUUGUAUUAAAACACAUCAUUGUCCAAAUGCAAUGUUAUGGGCGUAGAUUUUUCUUUGCUCGUUGUCAAACACGAGCCAGUGGAAGAUGGUACCAGAAGGGCAAGGACAAACGAGGCUGUCAACAUGGGCACAAUAUAAAAUUCUAAUGCAAAUAACGAGAAGGAGCGAGCAUGGAUGUUUAAUGACGUGGUCGGAUUAACAGGGGAUUUGAACAGUGUGAUGCGCACGUGCGCGCGCGUGCACACACAAGGGAUAGAACCGUUUUAUGGGAGCACCACUGCUAUGACUCCUGUUGAGUAUCCUAACUCGGUAUGCCGAUAAAUCUGUUGUGGUGAUUGUGCAUAACAAGAACGUAUUUUGUACUGUUAAAAGCUCGAGAUGCUUAAAUUAAACAUCUUAGCCUGAAUCCCAUAGGAUAGUUAAGGACUUCAUGAAUCUUUUUUCUUCUUGCCAACUAACAGGUGCAUAGGCUAGGAAUACUCAUUUGGGAUAUAUAUCUUUCUUUUUUUCCUUCUUUUUUCUACAUAUACAUUCAUACUCAUUGAGAAAUAGGCGAUUUAAAAUUGAAAUAAACAAGAUAUUUUUAAAAAAUAGAUAUAUAACAAAAAAAAAUUUAUACACACACAUAUAUAAUAGCAAUCUGGUAAGAAUAUUCGUGCAAAUUUAAAUAUGUAAAAGGGGAUUCAUAUUAAAAAAACCUUUUCUUAAAAGCUAUGAUUGAACUACUUUAAUUUUGAAACUCAAUCUUUCAAUGAUUGAAAUAACCACUUUAUUUUUUUAUAACUGCAUAUCAUUAAAUUAUACUUUUCAAUUAAAUAUUUCUCUUAUCCAAUUUUUGUCUCUUGCUCCUUUAGGCGAUGUAUCAAUCCAUGAAAGAGAAGGUAGAGAGUGCAUUGCAAAGAGGCUAUGUAGCUGGCAAUGAUUUAAUUGCCACUCCUAAAGAACUAGAGAUUUUCAAGAAAUGGAAGGGAUUUACCCGUCGUGAUCAUCCGUCAAUAAUUCAGGCAUUCACUACUUCCAUCAAAUUGUUCAUCAUCAACUAACUGCUAAUUUUUGACCUACUUAUAUGGUCAUAAAUAUUUGCUACCUUAUUUUGUAGUUUCCCUUUUAUCUCACACAAAACUCUGUUGUCACGACAACAGGAUGUUACUCCCACAAAAUAGGUUUGUUGAAACUUGUAUCCCUAUAUAUUUCACUUGCCAAAACAAAGAACAAAAUACACAUAUUCUCAAAAAAAAAAAAAUCAAUGUUGAUAUUUAAUUAACUUUGAAGUAAAUGGAUGAUCAAUUACAUCAUAAGCCCUCCUCAUGGGGUAAAUAUUUGUCGGUGGAAGAAAAGACACACACAAAAAAAAAAAAAGGAAAAAAAGGUGUGAUCUGCUGAUCCAGAAAAAAAAAAAAAAACAGAGGGUGAGGUGGGGGGUGGGGGAGGAUUAUUCUCCAAAGGUUCUUUGCCAAUAUGUAGUAUCUUAUUAAUUAGUUUGGCCAAAAAAAAAAAGGUAAUUCAUUCUUCACUAAAGCGAGGCAUGAAGCCUCUCUCGCUUGUUAUAUACUGAUCAGUAUUAAGAUGAUUGGUGUGGAACAGGUUUUGCUGGAAAGCAGUAAAGACACAGAUAUCAUGGGCGACGCAUUACCAAACCUCAUCUACCUCUCCAGAGAGAAAAAUAUCAAUUCUCCCCACCACUUCAAGGCUGGUGCUCUCAAUACCUUGGUAAAAAUCCCUCUCUCCAAAGCUUCGUCAAACAGAAACACCCUCUUCUCUUUUCAACCAAAAAAAUAGGAGAAGCACUCUCUUCCAUUCUUUAACUAGCUCCCAUUAAUUAAUUCUCUUGUUUUCACUCCAUCAAAAGGUCCGGGUGUCCAGCAUCAUGACCAAUGCCCCGGUGGUCCUCACUUUGGACUGUGACAUGUACUCCAAUGACCCCCAAGCUCCUCUCCGAGCUCUGUGCUAUCUUUUGGACCCGGCCAUGGCUUCCAACCUCGCCUACGUCCAGUUUCCGCAGCACUUCCAGGGACUCAACGAGGACGACAUCUAUGGGGGCGAGGUAAAGCGCCUGUUUCGAAUUAACCCGCGAGGGGUGGACGGGUUCAGUGGGCCCAGCUACGUGGGCUCCAAUUGUUUCUUUGACAGGCGGGCCUUGCACCCUUCACCCCUGGCUCCAUUGAGCUCGCACGACGCGAGCGAGCCGAGGGAUCGUGGUUCGUUGCAUUUGGACUCGGUGCUGAAACGGGCUCAUGAAGUUGCUAGUUGUAACUACGAGGUUGGCACAAAAUGGGGUUCAACGGUAAGUCGUAGAAUAAUAUUACGUAGCUUGUUCUAAUGCUGGUAAUGGGACUUAUAAUUUCGAAUUUAUAGUUGUCGUUAUAUAACAUCAUAUAAAUCAAGAGGUCUUCUGUUACAUUAUGCACAUAACUGACAAAAAUCGAUCUAAACCACAACUUUAAUUUGGUAGUUAACCAGCUACGGUUGUCAUAGUAUAACUGCUACUUUAAUUUCAAUGUUCACGAGAUUCCAUUAUUUCUCCACGGCGUUGUCCCAUUCCUAACUAGUCUACUUUAAGACAAUAUAUAGGGGUUGUACCUUCCAUGCAAAUCCACUAUUAGGCCAUGCAAUGGUUGCUUUGAGAUCUAUACGUAUAGAUGAGUGACAGAAUUCAAAUUGCUUUGAGAUCCAUACAGAUUGCAAUCUAAUGGAUGUUGAUGUGAAAGAAGAUGAAUAAUUCUUUGCGAAAUAUUUUGUGCAUCGCGUAUGGUGCAAUAAAAUUGAUGUAGAGUACAUCGCUCCAUCCUAUUGGACCACGUAGCUCCGACUUUCUAAUGCUCAUUAAAUACCUACAGUUCCGUUUUUUGAUUUAUAAAAUUUUCAAUGACAAAAAUAUCCUUUCUUCCUUAUGACUUCUUAUUUUCAAAAAUCAUAAUAUGUCUUCAGAAUAUCAUAAGUCAUGGGAUGUCAUAACAGGUCAUGCAAUAUCAUAAUUUUUUCAGAACAGAAGCAUAUUUUCGUCAUUCAAACUUUCAAAUCAAAAAGUAGAAUUGAUGUAUUUAAUUCAUAUAAUUGGUGCAUUUAAUUCAUAUUGAAAAACAUGACUAGGUGAUCUAAUGGAAAGGAGCGGUGUAAUGUUUUUGCACUGCAUGCGGUGCAUAAAGAAUUACUUUUAUUCUUUUGUGUGAAAGAUAUAGUCUAAGCCCAACAGCACCCAUCGUUCAUUUUGUCCGUUAUCAUGGAUGAAUAAUAAUUUCCUGUCAGAAUUAUGCAGAAACACAAAUGGGAAUGAGAUCUGACUAAGCCCAAUGUUAUGUUUAUAGAUUUAUGUGAUAUGAUGUUGUGGUCAUGGGUGUUACAAACUUGUGCAGAUUGGAUUUCGUUACGGGUCGCUUGUCGAAGACUACCACACAGGCUAUCGCCUACAUUGUGAAGGUUGGAAGUCUACAUUUUGUGAUCCUGAGAGGCCAGCGUUCGUAGGCGAUGCGCCAAAGAACUUAAAUGAUGCCCUCGGCCAAGUCAAGAGAUGGUGCAUCGGGUUCUUAGAGGUGGCCAUCUCAAAGCACAAUCCCCUCACUUUUGGAAUCAGGAACGCUUCAUUACCUGUAGGCUUGUGCUACGCAUAUUACGCUUAUUGGGGAUCAUGGUGCAUUCCUCUCACAAUCUACGCUUUUCUCCCACCAUUGGCUCUCACCUACCAGAAGCGCUUGUUCCCCGAGGUAUUCUCCUUUUUUUUUUUUUAUCUCCAAUAAAGACAGAAACGCAUACACAUGCACACAAGCAAAGAGAAAACUUGAAAAAAAAUCUCUAAAAUAACAAGUCAAAAUACAUCUUUAGCCAAUUUUGAAAACCGAGAAACUAUUCACAUAGCUAUUUAAAAUAAAAAAGAAUCUAACGAAACAUCUCUUCCAAAUGAUUUGUGUAUGGGAAUACUUACAUGUAUUUACAUGUAAUUGGACCCUUGCAAGUUUAGUCCUCAUAUAUAGAGGCUUUUAGUGUCAGAUUUAUGUGAAGUAUACAUUCAUCUAGCUUGCUGAGUAGUCCAAGUGCCUUGAUCUGAUAUGCCAAAACUUGAUCAUAGUACGAGUUGUAGGCUUGUAGCAGUACUCAAGUUGUAGUUGGUUGAGUCCCAAUUCUAUGCCACCACUGCUCCAAUACACCUUAUGAUCGGGUACUUAUAGUCUACUAGGACCCCAGGCCUGUCAACAUGCCGCAUCUUGCCCAAACAUCUGAACUGUUAUGGCUCUGGUCUGGCCCAGUUAUCCAGAUUCUAGUUGGCUUACUCAUCUGUCAACUGAAUCGGGUUACAUUUGGGUACAUAUAGGUCUGAUAUGACUAAUAUUUUGUAACAAUAUGAACUAGUUACAUUAUCGAAUAGGAAUUAUUCUUGGCAUGCAGUUCAUUAGGCUUAAUUGUACUUGAAUUAUUUUUGUGGUAUUGGAAUGCUAAAUGUCAAGUUUUCUGAAAAAAAAAUGGGGGAAAACAAAUGGAGGGACUAGCACCAUUCACUUAAGUAAAAGAAAGUAUAACAAAAUAGAGAGCGUGAUAUACCCAGAAAAACAAAAAAACAAAAGAGAUAGCAUAACAAAAUAUCACAAAUCCUUGAAACCCACACAACAUAUAGACGCUCUAAAAUCAAAUUUUAAAUUCAAAAUCACCAAAUACUUGCUUGAAUGGUAUGACACUUGCCCCUUGUGCAAUGGGACAGGGUUUGACUCUGAUUUGCGUCAAUCUGCAAGGGUGAGGUGGUUACAUGAUAGAAAAGAUAGGCAAUAGUUCAAAAUUGCACAAAGUUACUUAUUUUUAUUUCAAUGUCUAUAGAGCAUCAAUAUUAGAUGGCAGUUCUUCAUCCUUCUCUAAUCACCUCAGCACAAUUCUUUCGUCCAUCACUAAUCGCCUCCUCUCUCUAUAUAUUCAUUGUUCGAAUAUCGAUAUAUGUUCUCCAUGGAUUAGAGAUUUAGCCUUUUCGGCUUUUCCUGAUCAAUCUAUUUGGUAGCUAGAGAAAGAUCUUUUGUAUGGUCAUUCUCGUUGCAUCCUCACAGUCCUCUCCCUUCAAUGCAAACUAUUAUGAUAAGAAGUUGGUGAAGAGAACUAUUUUCUUGACAUGUUUUACUUGCAUCGCAGGUUUCUGACAUGUUUUACUUGUAUUUGCAGGUUUUUGACCCAUGGUUCUAUCUGUAUGUCUACCUCUUCUUGGCUGCCUAUAUUACGGACCUUGUCGAUUUCCUCAGGGCCAAGGGAUCAAUUCAUAGGUGGUGGAAUGAUCAAAGGAUAUGGAUGGUCAGGGGCCUCACAUCUCAUCUCUUUGGAACUAUACAGUUCGCACUCAAUCAUGUUGGCAUAUCCACUCCAGGGUUUAAUGUAACCAGCAAAGUGAUAGAAGAGGAGCAAAGUGAGCGGUAUGACAAGGGAAUGUUUGAUUUUGGCAUAGCAUCGCCAUUCUUUGUGAUUUUGGGUACAGCGGCCAUCGUAAAC
rnacentral:lncRNA from 1 species